AGAUAUAUAUAGUGUGAACAGCUUGUGCAAAAAUUCAAAGAUAGCUCAUUCUGAACUCAUGGCUGCAUAUCUCCAGAUGUGAAAGGAACCAGUGACUGCCUAAAAUCCUUCUUAAUUGCUCAACCAAGUUUUAGCUUGCUACGUCGAUGGUGAACAGCUUGCUCAAAAAUUCGAACUUUCUGCAAUCAUUUAACACAACUUCAUGCUAGUUUGACCCAAAUUCAUAAUUUAAAGUUUUAUUAUUAUUAUGUUAAACUGUCUUCUUAUUACAAUAUUUCAACUUAGAUAGCUCUAAAAACCUUUGUUUCAUUAAUAUA